CAUGAAGAUGCUCAUCACAGCAGUAUUUUAAAAAUAAAAUGGAAACAAACCCUUAAAGACAUUUUAAUGUAUGUUUUAAACUAAAAGUAUGAAAUAAAAUUUAAAUAAAAAACAUGAAAUCAUUAAAAAUGAUAACCAGAAAAAUUUUAGUAAAAUGGAAAAUGCUUGUGUUUCAAUGUUAAAAGAACAAAAACCUAGCAAACAAAAUUGUAUGUAAAGUAAAACUACACAUGAA
rnacentral:lncRNA from 1 species